GAUGAACGCUGGCGGCGUGCCUAAUACAUGCAAGUCGAGCGAACGGACGAGAAGCUUGCUUCUCUGAUGUUAGCGGCGGACGGGUGAGUAACACGUGGAUAACCUACCUAUAAGACUGGGAUAACUUCGGGAAACCGGAGCUACUCCCGUAUCAUCUUUUGAACCGCAUGGUUCCAACGUGAAAGACGGUCUUGCUGUCACUUAUCGCUGGAUCCGCGCUGCAUUAGCUAGUUGGUAAGGUAACGGCUUACCAAGGCAACGAUGCAUAGCCGACCUGAGAGGGUGAUCGGCCACACUAGAACUGAGACACGGUCCAGACUCCUACGGGAGGCAGCCGUAGGGAAUCUUCCGCAAUGGGCGAAAGCCUGACGGAGCAACGCCGCGUGAGUGAUGAAGGUCUUCGGAUAGUAAAACUCUGUUAUGAGGGAAGAACAUAUGUGUAAGUAACUGUGAACAUCUUGACGGUACCUAAUCAGAAAGCCACGGCUAACUACGUG
rnacentral:rRNA from 1 species